GACGAACGCUGGCGGCGUGCUUAACACAUGCAAGUCGAACGGAAAGGCCCUGCUUUUGUGGGGUGCUCGAGUGGCGAACGGGUGAGUAACACGUGAGUAACCUGCCCUUGACUUUGGGAUAACUUCAGGAAACUGGGGCUAAUACCGGAUAGGAGCUCCUGCUGCAUGGUGGGGGUUGGAAAGUUUCGGCGGUUGGGGAUAGACUCGCGGCUUAUCAGCUUGUUGGUGGGGUAGUGGCUUACCAAGGCUUUGACGGGUAGCCGGCCUGGGAGGGUGACCGGCCACAUUGGGACUGAGAUACGGCCCAGACUCCUACGGGAGGCAGCAGUGGGGAAUAUUGCACAAUGGGCGGAAGCCUGAUGCAGCAACGCCGCGUGCGGGAUGACGGCCUUCGGGUUGUAAACCGCUUUCGCCUGUGACGAAGCGUGAGUGACGGUAAUGGGUAAAGAAGCACCGGCUAACUACGUG
rnacentral:rRNA from 1 species